rnacentral:tRNA from 1 species
GAAAGUAUAGCUCAGUGAUAGAGCUUUUGCCUUGCAUGCAUGAGACCUUGGGUUUAAUUCCCAGUACCA